rnacentral:rRNA from 1 species
GCCUAACACAUGCAAGUCGAACGGUAACGCGGGGCAACCUGGCGACGAGUGGCGAACGGGUGAGUAAUAUAUCGGAACGUGCCCAGUCGUGGGGGAUAACGUAGAGAAAUUUACGCUAAUACCGCAUACGAUCUAAGGAUGAAAGCGGGGGAUCGCAAGACCUCGCGCGAUUGGAGCGGCUGAUAUCAGAUUAGGUUGUUGGUGAGGUAAAAGCUCACCAAGCCGACGAUCUGUAGCUGGUUUGAGAGAACGAGCAGCCACACUGGGACUGAGACACGGCCCAGACUCCUACGGGAGGCAGCAGUGGGGAAUUUUGGACAAUGGGCGCAAGCCUGAUCCAGCAAUGCCGCGUGCAGGAAGAAGGCCUUCGGGUUGUAAACUGCUUUUGUACGGAACGAAACGGCUCUUUCUAAUAAAGAGGGCUAAUGACGGUACCGUAAGAAUAAGCACCGGCUAACUACGUGCCAGCAGCCGCGGUAAUACGUAGGGUGCGAGCGUUAAUCGGAAUUACUGGGCGUAAAGCGUGCGCAGGCGGUUAUGUAAGACAGUUGUGAAAUCCCCGGGCUCAACCUGGGAAUUGCAUCUGUGACUGCAUAGCUAGAGUACGGUAGAGGGGGAUGGAAUUCCGCGUGUAGCAGUGAAAUGCGUAGAUAUGCGGAGGAACACCGAUGGCGAAGGCAAUCCCCUGGACCUGUACUGACGCUCAUGCACGAAAGCGUG